rnacentral:rRNA from 1 species
AACGAACGCUGGCAGCAUGCCUAACACAUGCAAGUCGAACGAGACCUUCGGGUCUAGUGGCGCACGGGUGCGUAACGUGUGGGAACCUGCCCUUAGGUUCGGAAUAACUCCCCGAAAGGGGUGCUAAUACCGGAUAAUGUCUUCGGACCAAAGAUUUAUCGCCUUUGGAUGGGCCCGCGUUGGAUUAGCUAGUUGGUAGGGUAAAAGCCUACCAAGGCGACGAUCCAUAGCUGGUCUGAGAGGAUGAUCAGCCACACUGGGACUGAGACACGGCCCAGACUCCUACGGGAGGCAGCAGUGGGGAAUAUUGGACAAUGGGCGAAAGCCUGAUCCAGCAAUGCCGCGUGAGUGAUGAAGGCCUUAGGGUUGUAAAGCUCUUUUACCCGGGAUGAUAAUGACAGUACCGGGAGAAUAAGCUCCGGCUAACUCCGUG